rnacentral:rRNA from 1 species
GACGAACCGAGCGAACGUUGUUCGGAAUCACUGGGCUUAAAGGGCGCGUAGGCGGACUGCCGCGUCCGGGGUGAAAUCCUCCGGCUCAACCGGGGAAGGGCCUCGGAUACGGGCGGUCUGGAGUGGGGUAGGGGCGUGCGGAACUGUGGGUGGAGCGGUGAAAUGCGUUGAGAUCCACAGGAACUCCGGUGGCGAAGGCGGCACGCUGGACCCUUUCUGACGCUGAGGCGCGAAAGCGUGGGGAGCGAACGGG